rnacentral:tRNA from 1 species
GGGGAGGUAGCUCAGUGAUAGAACACUUGCCUUGCAUGCAUGAGGCCCUGGGUUCAAUUCCCCAGCACCA